rnacentral:rRNA from 1 species
UACAGAGGUGGCAAGCGUUGUUCGGAAUUACUGGGCGUAAAGAGCGCGCAGGCGGUCGAUCAAGUCGAGUGUGAAAGCCCCCGGCUCAACUGGGGAGGGUCAUUCGAUACUGAUCGACUCGAAGGCAGGAGAGGGUAGUGGAAUUCCCGGUGUAGUGGUGAAAUGCGUAGAUAUCGGGAGGAACACCAGUGGCGAAGGCGACUACCUGGCCUGUUCUUGACGCUGAGGCGCGAAAGCUAGGGGAGCAAACGGG